UUUUUUGGUCAUUUCAAUAGCUUUACCUUUUUACUUUAAUAUUCUAUUUUGUGUUUUCUGUGAAUAUGAUUUUAGUUUUCAAGGAUUCCCUUAUUUUUCGCCGGCUUUUGUAUUUCAAAACUGCAUUUUAAGUGGGUGAUUGGUUCGUCUGUAGCUGUAAAAAUUUUGCGGUAGGUGUGAUGACUUUAGCUUUAGGUUUUAUUGUUGUAGAAAUUAGGCUGUAAAUUUUAUUAAUAUAAU
rnacentral:sRNA from 1 species